GCUCAAGAUCUUGUUGACACUAUGAUUCUAAAUUUGCUUCUAAAUUUCUGAUAUCUUCACUCUUAACGAUGGAUCUGUAACGCCUCUACUCAAGAGCAUGACAGUGCAUAAUAUGUAUGUUGGAGAGGGUUCAGACUUCCAAUAUAAUAUAUAAAAGGGUGGCUGAGCAGUGGGGUUCUCUUGGUGACUUGACUACGUCUGUUACAUCGAUUCGAUUCGAUUGAUACAGAAGGAAUACUCAGGAUCUGCUAGAACUGGCGAUGGAUCUGUUAGACGAGAUCAAGUUGGUCUAGCGGGUCAAAAUACUCAGCUUGUUCAUCAGGGUUCACUGAAUUAUAUUAGUUCCCAGGUAAAGCUGGCCCUCCUUGUCUCUCCCAAGUCUUGAAGACAUACUUAAUCAAUUUUUAACCCUUUAAUUCUUAUCUUCUGUGAGCUCUGAAGCAAUGGUAAAAGGAUUGGAGGAGUUAGUAAUCAAUUUUUAACCCUUUAAUCUGAGAAGGCUCAAAGUGAGUUGGAGCAUAGUCCAAUCUUCUCAUUCAGAACCAGAGAGUUGGAGCAUAGUCCAAUCACUAGUCUUCCACUACUUCAGUACUAUCGAGAGUGCGUUUGAGCCUACAAGCUUCUAAGUAAUAUUUUUCUCUUCAUGGAACAGUUGGUUGAAUCUAUUUUAAGCAAGGUUGUAGAAGAGUUCGAGCAUCAGAUUGCAAGCUAAGGAGGUGAACAGUUACAACCAAAAAUAACUUCAAGAGAUCCUGUUUCUCAAAGCAAUGGGUCUUCAAGAGGUGAACAGUUACAAUAAAAAAUUUCUUGAAUGUAAGUAGAACUGUCCAAUGAGCAUGACAGCAUAGCAAAGAAAUAGGAAAGUGCUGUUGAUUCCUUUUAUUGUUGAUCUUUUUCUAGUCAUAUUCUAGUACUUGUUCUGUUUGGUUUAUUUUCUUGAGAGUAAAAACUAAAACGAG